UACAAAUGGUGGCCUGAUUUCGGGCAAGU
rnacentral:piRNA from 1 species